rnacentral:rRNA from 1 species
GAACGCUGGCGGCGUGCCUAAUACAUGCAAGUCGAGCGAACAGAUGAGGAGCUUGCUCCUCUGACGUUAGCGGCGGACGGGUGAGUAACACGUGGAUAACCUACCUAUAAGACUGGGAUAACUUCGGGAAACCGGAGCUAAUACCGGAUAAUAUAUUGAACCGCAUGGUUCAAUAGUGAAAGACGGUUUUGCUGUCACUUAUAGAUGGAUCCGCGCCGCAUUAGCUAGUUGGUAAGGUAACGGCUUACCAAGGCAACGAUGCGUAGCCGACCUGAGAGGGUGAUCGGCCACACUGGAACUGAGACACGGUCCAGACUCCUACGGGAGGCAGCAGUAGGGAAUCUUCCGCAAUGGGCGAAAGCCUGACGGAGCAACGCCGCGUGAGUGAUGAAGGUCUUCGGAUCGUAAAACUCUGUUACUAGGGAAGAACAAAUGUGUAAGUAACUAUGCACGUCUUGACGGUACCUAAUCAGAAAGCCACGGCUAACUACGUG